rnacentral:tRNA from 3 species
GUCAGUGUGGCCGAGUGGUUAAGGCGCUAGACUUGAACUAUAGCAUAUAGUAAUUUAAUUCAUUACUAUAUAGAGAUAGUAUAUCUAGUACAUUCGUGUUCGUAGGUUCAAAUCCUGCCGCUGACG